rnacentral:miRNA from 1 species
AUUGAGCUCUGAAAUCUUGUUGU